rnacentral:sRNA from 1 species
UGACUAGUGGACAGAUGUAGCACUCGUAA